rnacentral:rRNA from 1 species
ACUUUACCAUGCGGGCAACCGUGAUAAGGAAACCCCGAGUGCCAGCACAGGCUGGCUGUCCGCCAGUUUAAAUAACUGGUGAAGAAAGGGCCGGGCAAGACCGGUGCCAGCCGCCGCGGUAACACCGGCGGCUCGAGUGGUAACCGUUAUUAUUGGGUCUAAAGGGUCUGUAGCCGGCCGGAUAAGUCUCUUGAGAAAUCUGGCAGCUUAACUGUCAGGCUUUCAGGAGAUACUGUCUGGCUCGAGGCCGGGAGAGGUGAGAGGUACUUCGAGGGGUAGGGUGAAA